rnacentral:lncRNA from 1 species
CGUGUGUUUUCCUUUGAGGGCUCUUGGGACUUGUAAAUUCAGUUCAAUUCACCUUCUGAGGAAUGGGCCCUGACAAGCUGAAGUCUGAGUUUCCAGGUGCUGCUGCUGCUGCAGAUCUGGGAACCACACUUUGAGAACCACUGAACAAGACAUUAUGUCAUUGGUCCCUAUUAAAAAAAAGAAAGCCAUCUUCAAAUGAUCUUCACACUGGCAGAGCCAUAAGCUGCGAUGGAACCUAACCUCUGUGCCCCUUCAAUGUGGAACAUGUGGUCAUCAAAGAAGAUGUGGGGCCGGAUCUUCACCA